AGGACGAACGCUGGCGGCGUGCUUAACACAUGCAAGUCGAACGGUGAAGGAGAGCUUGCUCUCCGGAUCAGUGGCGAACGGGUGAGUAACACGUGAGUAACCUGCCCUUGACUCUGGGAUAAGCGUUGGAAACGACGUCUAAUACCGGAUACGAGCUUCAGCCGCAUGGCUAGGAGCUAGGAAAGAUUUCGGCAAGGAUGGACUCGCGGCCUAUCAGCUAGUUGGUGAGGUAAUGGCUCACCAAGGCGAGACCCGGGUAGCCGGCCUGAGAGGGUGACCGGCCACACUGGGACCUGAGACACGGCCCAGACUCCUACGGGAGGCAGCAGUGGGAAUAGUUGCACAAGUGGGCGCAAGCCUGAUGCAGCAACGCCGCGGUGGGGACGAGGC
rnacentral:rRNA from 1 species